AAGACUUGAGAAUAGAGAUAUGGGACUAUCGCCCCCAUAAAUUGAAAGGAAAUGUGGGAAUCCCAGCCCCACCAAGUCUU
rnacentral:ncRNA from 1 species